UCAGUUGCAAAGCAGAUUCAAGCGUCACAAGGCGAAAACUGAAAAGGGAGCGAGAGAGAUGUCACAGUGGCCCCAGGGUCUGAGGGCUAUAAAUAUGGGGCUGGCCGGCGGCCCCAGCCUCAGUUAACAACCAAUUCCUGCCAAGACCUGACCUGAUUGUGUCACCAUGGCGAGGUCCAGAAGAUCCCGAUCCCGUCGCAAUCUAAGAAACCAACCUGAAGCGGAAAAGAGAAGGUUAGCCAUGAGAACUGUUCGGCCCAGGCGGCGCCGGGCUAGGCGCAGGAGGAGGAGAGCUAUGAGAGGUGGCAGGCGUCAGUAUACUCAGAGGCGACCGUGAGCCCCCAGCUAGGACCCAGGACCUGAAAGGCAGCCGAAUUGGAUAAGAAGGCAGAAAACGAAAGCCGGGACCCAUGAUUGUACUGAUUUUAGUGGAAUUAAAGUGAUCAAAACUCA